GUAACACGUGGGAACAUACCCCUUUCUACGGAAUAGCCUCGGGAAACUGAGAGUAAUACCGUAUAAGCCCUUCGGGGGAAAGAUUUAUCGGGAAGGGAUUGGCCCGCGUUAGAUUAGAUAGUUGGUGGGGUAAUGGCCUACCAAGUCUACGAUCUGUAGCUGGUUUUAGAGGAUGAUCAGCAACACUGGGACUGAGACACGGCCCAGACUCCUACGGGAGGCAGCAGUGGGGAAUCUUAGACAAUGGGCGCAAGCCUGAUCUAGCCAUGCCGCGUGUGUGAUGAAGGUCUUAGGAUCGUAAAGCACUUUCGCCAGGGAUGAUAAUGACAGUACCUGGUAAAGAAACCCCGGCUAACUCCGUGCCAGCAGCCGCGGUAAUACGGAGGGGGUUAGCGUUGUUCGGAAUUACUGGGCGUAAAGCGUACGUAGGCGGAUCAGAAAGUUAGGGGUGAAAUCCCGAGGCUCAACCUCGGAACUGCCUCUAAAACUCCUGGUCUUGAGUUCGAGAGAGGUGAGUGGAAUUCCAAGUGUAGAGGUGAAAUUCGUAGAUAUUUGGAGGAACACCAGUGGCGAAGGCGGCUCACUGGCUCGAUACUGACGCUGAGGUACGAAAGUGUGGGGAGCAAACAGGAUUAGAUACCCUGGUAGUCCACACCGUAAACGAUGAAUGCCAGUCGUCGGGCAGUAUACUGUUCGGUGACACACCUAACGGAUUAAGCAUUCCGCCUGGGGAGUACGGUCGCAAGAUUAAAACUCAAAGGAAUUGACGGGGG
rnacentral:rRNA from 1 species